rnacentral:rRNA from 1 species
GAUGAACGCUGGCGGCGUGCCUAAUACAUGCAAGUCGAGCGAACGGACGAGAAGCUUGCUUCUCUGAUGUUAGCGGCGGACGGGUGAGUAACACGUGGAUAACCUACCUAUAAGACUGGGAUAACUUCGGGAAACCGGAGCUAAUACCGGAUAAUAUUUUGAACCGCAUGGUUCAAAAGUGAAAGACGGUCUUGCUGUCACUUAUAGAUGGAUCCGCGCUGCAUUAGCUAGUUGGUAAGGUAACGGCUUACCAAGGCAACGAUGCAUAGCCGACCUGAGAGGGUGAUCGGCCACACUGGAACUGAGACACGGUCCAGACUCCUACGGGAGGCAGCAGUAGGGAAUCUUCCGCAAUGGGCGAAAGCCUGACGGAGCAACGCCGCGUGAGUGAUGAAGGUCUUCGGAUCGUAAAACUCUGUUAUUAGGGAAGAACAUAUGUGUAAGUAACUGUGCACAUCUUGACGGUACCUAAUCAGAAAGCCACGGCUAACUACGUGCCAGCAGCCGCGGUAAUACGUAGGUGGCAAGCGUUAUCCGGAAUUAUUGGGCGUAAAGCGCGCGCAGGCGGUUUUUUAAGUCUGAUGUGAAAGCCCACGGCUCAACCGUGGAGGGUCAUUGGAAACUGGAAAACUUGAGUGCAGAAGAGGAAAGUGGAAUUCCAUGUGUAGCGGUGAAAUGCGCAGAGAUAUGGAGGAACACCAGUGGCGGAGGCGACUUUCUGGUCUGUAACUGACGCUGAUGUGCGAAAGCGUGGGGAUCAAACAGGAUUAGAUACCCUGGUAGUCCACGCCGUAAACGAUGAGUGCUAAGUGUUAGGGGGUUUCCGCCCCUUAGUGCUGCAGCUAACGCAUUAAGCACUCCGCCUGGGGAGUACGACCGCAAGGUUGAAACUCAAAGGAAUUGACGGGGACCCGCACAAGCGGUGGAGCAUGUGGUUUAAUUCGAAGCAACGCGAAGAACCUUACCAAAUCUUGACAUCCUUUGACAACUCUAGAGAUAGAGCCUUCCCCUUCGGGGGACAAAGUGACAGGUGGUGCAUGGUUGUCGUCAGCUCGUGUCGUGAGAUGUUGGGUUAAGUCCCGCAACGAGCGCAACCCUUAAGCUUAGUUGCCAUCAUUAAGUUGGGCACUCUAAGUUGACUGCCGGUGACAAACCGGAGGAAGGUGGGGAUGACGUCAAAUCAUCAUGCCCCUUAUGAUUUGGGCUACACACGUGCUACAAUGGACAAUACAAAGGGCAGCGAAACCGCGAGGUCAAGCAAAUCCCAUAAAGUUGUUCUCAGUUCGGAUUGUAGUCUGCAACUCGACUACAUGAAGCUGGAAUCGCUAGUAAUCGUAGAUCAGCAUGCUACGGUGAAUACGUUCCCGGGUCU